AUGCCUUUGCAGAACAAGAGCUCUGGUGAUGGAGAGUGCAGCAAAGCCAGUUCCCUUCACACAGGUCUCUCCAAACUUGUGAUCUGGGCACACAGUCACGGGACCAUAUGCAGCGAGAUCCCAGCCCUGGAAUUUAUCCAGAACACGGGGCACCUGAGCGGGGACAAUGCUAUGCUGUGGAUGUGCAGAGUGGGACAUGCCUAUCACUGGCAGUAUGAGAAGUUACAUGACAGAGACAGAGAAGGGACUGAGGCUGUAGGAAGGAAAAGGAGGCCCCAGUUUUCCAAGGCUUCGGCAAGGGAAGAUAGCUUUGGGGAAAAGAGGCUCAGGCUGACCCCAUCAUCUUUUGAGAGGGGUCAAGCAGAUGUUGGGAGCACAGGGUCAUGUGGCAGGUCCCCAGGAGUCACUCAGCAGAAGGCUGACACAGCCUAUGCAAGGCAUAAGAAGCCAUCACCCAGAGGGAGUCAGAAUACCAGGGAACUGAUGACACCUUGCUCUGCAGCAGAGCAGCACUUGGCAGGCGCUGGGCUCCAAACUGGUGGUCAGAACGUGAAGCUCAAAGAUGACGAUGACGUACUGAUCAUCUCUGACGAAGAGCAGUGUGUGGCAGUUAAAGACAACCAAGGAGACAGAAUCAACCAGAAUAAUGUGUCAGAGCCACCUACUCAGGUGGAUUUGCAGAUGCUCCACUGCCAGGAGUUGGCAUUUCACCAGCCAACAGCCCCUCAAAGAUCUGCCUUUGCCAGCAUGGCAGGGCCACCUCCAGCCCGUGCCUAUGUUCUGCAGUCCCCUGUCAGCAACCUGGAGGACCCGGGCAGGAACAUCCCGAGGCUGGGUCAUUUCACUGCUGCAGGGCCCACGGCUGAGACUUCCAGAGCGAGGAACCCCCCGGGGUCAGCAGCACCAAAGGUGUGUUUCGAACCUCUUCCUGUCUCCAGCACCGAAGAGAAGGCCCAGCUUGAGUCAUGCCCCUUGGUGACAUUCUUUAAGUUCCAAGCCACUGCUGAUGUCCAGCAGCAGCUCCAGCUGAGCCCUCCAAAGCAUGGCAUGCUAGGAGUGGACUCCAGCAGGAAUGGCACUGAGAAUUUGGCAGAGGAGAGCGAGCCGUCGGGAUCCAGGCAGGCACCUCAUCCUUCAGCCUUCCAGAGUCCAGAGAGCCAUCCACCUGCAGCCUCAAACAGAGGGAAAUCUCCCUGUCUGGCGGCGAGGAGGGCCAGCAGCCAACAGAGAGGGAGCAGGAAGGAGCCCAGCCCUCCCUGGAGAGGUGUUCUGCAGAAGCAGGAGAAAAAGAAAAACUGUCCCACUAGUGAUAUAAAGGUGUUCAAAGACUGGCUGAUGUUGCACCACCCCUCUGAGACACGUGAGAUCCACACGCUGCCACCUGAAGACCUCGACCGCUACCUGGUCUCAUUCUUCAGCUCCACCAAGAGACAGGAUGGCACGGAUUUUUCUGCCCAUUCCUUUGGCUUCUUGCAGCGCAACAUCGAGCGGUACCUCAAGGAGCACAGCUACCAGUACAACGUGGUGAGAGGGCUGGAGUUCAGGGCCUCUCAGGAAGCUUGGAAACUAAAGUAUCAGUGCCUGUUCCAAAAGAAGAGGGAGGAACAGUGGAGUAUUUUGGAGAACCUGACAGAUGAAGAUGUGGAAAACCUUCGUAAGAAGGGAAUUUUAAACAGGAUGGACCCUCAGGGCUUUCUGCACCUCAUGUUCACCAGCAUUGUUAGGGGGUUUGGGGCAAGCACCCACCGCCAGAGCCACCACCUCUACUGGGGACAGCUGGUGCUGAGGAAGAGUGAGGGAGAGGUGGAGUACUUGGAGUGGAAGGAUGAUCUGAGCCCAGAAGGAAACAAAGGGGAGUCAAGCCCACGGCUCUUUGCCAAGCCUGCUGAUCCAGAGAACUGUCCAGUCACCAGUUACAAGGAGUACGCCAGGAGGAGGCCACCGGACAGCCUGAAGGACAACGAUGCACUUUACCUGGCUCCCAGGUCACAGUGCUCCAGCUGGGAUGAGGUGUGGUACUUCAGCAAGCCACUGACAAGAGCCAAAAUGGAAAAGAUCUUGAAAGUUAUUACCCAGCAAAUCAGAGGAGCCGUAAGGAAGCCCAGGCAAUAGAGGUGUCCCCUCAGCUUUCCCCCUUAAACCACUCCAAGGCUCCUCUGAAACAGAAUCCUGUCGUGAUAUUUGGUGUAGGCUGAGAGCAAACAUCCUUCUGCUGGUCUUUGCCUUGGCACUGCAGGCACUACACAUCUGCAGCGCCUCAGCUUCAAGGGGCUGGAACGUGACGAGUCCGGGGUGGGGGUCUCCGUGCUGCCCUGGGAGGAACUGGCCACUCUCAGUGGGGUGAAGGACGACAUCAGCCCCAGGAUCCCCGUCUGGUGUGAGGCAGGAGUGGAGACAGGAGACCCAGACACCGAGUAGCUGCCACUGGCACCUGAAGCAGCUUUGCAAGAAAGAAUUGGGGUGUGAGGCACUCCAGGACCGCUCCCGGGGGCUGGAGACCCUCUGGAGAGCCAGGCCCCUGCCCCAGACCCACGUCUGCAGCAGGUCUGGCAGAUUUGGUCACAGCUGGGGCCCUGUGUCUGGGCCCCAGCCAGGGACUGCAGGAGCUAGGAGGGGAAGUGCAUGAGCUGGGCCCUUCCAGCCCUGUUUGCUGCUGUAAUGUGACACAAAGUCAUCAAGCCCUGAGCAGCUCGAAUCAGAAGCCAUGCUGCUCCUGCAGAGCCUAUUCCUCCUCAGCAGCAGUUCUCCUGCUGACUCCAGUGUGUUGGUAUCAAGUUCUCCUGGGACAACUUGCUACCAGCGCACAGGAGCCCUUAUGGGCAUCCCACAAGAUCGUUGCUCUACCACUCUGCCCCUCUCCUCCCUUACCGGAGCUGUGCCGAGAGCGGGAGCCCUCCUGGGGAACACUGUCUCUGUAGUUGUUCAUCAGCCGCCGCCGCUGCUCCUGCAGCUCCUCUUCCCUCUGCAGGUCGCUCCGGAUCUCCUCCUCAAUCAGUGCAGACGUCUGGGGCUUCCAGGUCCGCAGCCGGUACUGCUCCUCCCGGCCGUCCUCCCUCCGCAGCGGGCUCUGCGUCCCCAUGUCCUCCGCAAAGGAGACCUUCGGUUUCCAGAAGGAGAGGGAGAAGUACUCUCUGGGCAGGACAGCAGUGCCGGUGGGGCUUGGGGUGGAGCCGGGAAGCUUCCCUCCCCAGGAAUCCUUGCUCCCCCAUUUGCUGGCACUGGCGGAAGCGUGCUGGGACACCGAGGGCUUCUCCCGGCUCCUCUCGCUGACGGUGAAGCGCGGCUGGGACAGCUGGAAGUGCGCGAUGCUCGCUGUGUAGCUGGGACUGCUUCUCCUGCCCCUGGUGUCUUCCGUGGGGCUGGGGCUUGAGGGCUGCUCCGCCACAAAGUCCUUAACCCAGCUCCUCCGCUCCUCUGCCUGCCUUGGGGCCGUGGACUUCUGCGGGGGGGCUUCCUCCUGCUCAAACACCCUCCUGCGCUCGUCCAGCUCCUGAUGCGUCCCCCUGUCAUACGCCCCCAGAAGCCUCCCUUGCCUCUUCAGAUCUUCCUCUCGCUUGGUUUCCUGCUCAAUUUCCCUCUGGACGUAAAGGGAAGCACGGCCUCUGUCCUUCCCUUUCCUGCCUGGGCCGGGAGAGCCAUGAAGGGCGAGGACAGGCUUGGUCUGGAUCUCCACCAGCUCGCUGCUGGAGGUCAGCCGCUGGAUACCCCUCUCUUUCCAGAGGUUCUCCUCCCUCUCCAUCGCCAUGCGGAUCUCCCGCUCGAUGGGCGUCUCACUGCUGACCUUCGUCUCCUUGCCCAGCCCGUUGCUGCCAGCCCUCAGAUCCACGAGGCCGCUGAAGGUCUCAUUGGAGGCACUUCCAUCACUGCCGUAGCCUGUGUUGGCUUCGUUAUACAUCUCACCCAAGCCGGAGUCCAGGUCCUCUCUGGACAGUGCUUUGGUCAGGCUGGACAUUUUCACAAUGGGAUACGACCUUUCAAUGUGAGCUUUUCUGGGACUAUAAACCUCCUCCUUCUCGGGUGUCUUGUAGGACACAUUGUAAACCUGGUAAACGCUCUUGUCCCUCCUGCUCUGGCUUGAUGCACCGGCACUACCAUAACCUCUCACAGCCUUCGUGGCCAUCUCAGGGCUAUGCCACUCUUCCCUGGAGACUUUUGUCACUGACUCUGGCUUAGGGGAUAUGGCCUGCUGCCCUGGGCUGAAAAAAGAGCCUGGGCUGGUCUUCUCUAGCAUCAGAAACUGCUGCCGAGCCGCGGAGAAGUUGAUCUGCUCUGUGUCGAUAUUGUCAGGGUCCACAGGUGUCGCAGCCCUGCCUGGGGAAGGUUUGUCAAAGCUGAUGGCAAAGCUGGUGGUGACACUGCCUGCAUGCCUGCCUUCACCCUGGCUGCCCAUGCCAGUGCUGAUGGAGCUCAGCUCAUCCAUGGAGCUCCACCUCUCGGCAAUGGUGGAGCUCUUCCUCAUCACCUGGCUCCGGAUGACCUCCCUCCUCUCGUCCUCAAGCUCCCUGGCUUUCUCGGGUGAGAUGUUGGGUGGAGGGACCCUGUACACGUCCUGUUCCUCCUCAUCAUAGAGCUUCGAGGGUUUCCUCUCGCCCCUGUAAGCCCUGAGGUCGUACAGGCUUCCCGACUUCACCACCUCCAGCUUGGACUCUCUGUCCGGGGACGGGGUCCAGACAUCUUUUCCACCCUCCAGGAAAUAUGAGGGUGACUGGGACCUCCUCUUCCAACCAUAGCCAUUUUCUACCCUCUGGGUGCUGUGUUGAGUGGAGCCAAACACAUCGUCGUCACUGUCAGCCCUCAGCUCUGCCAGCGAGCCGGUCUGGUGCCCAUCGCUGGAGUCAGGCCUGUGCGAGGCCUGUGGGAGCUGGAACACCAGAUGUCUGGUGACUCUGUCCAUCUCCUGGGAAGAGCCACCCCUCUGCCAACCUGUCUUCGGACCGGGGCCGCUGCUCAGCUUCAAGGUCACCCACGAGCUUCUGGCUCAGCAGAGGCCAAGGGGCCGGACCUGGCUGUCCCUGCAAGCAGGAGGGGAGAGCAGCCGUUUAGAGCAACAGGAGGAGCGGAGGUCAGGGCACAGCCCCUCUUCCAGCCUGGUACCACUGUCCUUGCUGGGGACAGACACCAACCUGCCCCGUCUGGGGCAGGAGCAGGCAGAGCACAAAGCACCGUUCCCAGUAGGAAUUGCCACAGAGCCCAGAUCCCCCUCCGACCUCUGUCCCCCAGCCUGGGCACGUUCCAAGGGUGCACAGCCAAACCUGCCGCAGGUUCACGGCACCACCAGUGGCAGCGAGACCACAGCCACGGCCCGGCUGGGCAUCGCCCUGGGCCUCUCCACAUGCACGGGGCAGGGAGGCACCUCCAGCCCCUGGCGGCACCAGCAGGGAGAGGUGGCAAUAGAGGCACUGAGGCCACCCCUGCCUGGAAUAUCUCCUCGUGCAUUUACAGGAAGGAGCCUCCAAGCAGCCGAGCUGUAGAAACAACUGGGUCAUAAAAGUGGUUUCAUGGCUCAUAAAACGAGGGGACUUUAACCCCCCUGGCAUGCAGGGCGGGAGUGAACGGCCCUGACCUUGAGGUUGAUGCUCCAGCGCUGGCUGGGCCAGAGCCGACUGGGACAGCGGGUGCCAGGCAGGGAGGGGCAGCACAGGUGGGUCCCCAUGAGGCAGCAGCUCUCACCGCACCUCAGAUGCCAUCCCGGCCCCAGCGCCGGGGACACCAACGUCACCCACGGACAAGCCGGGCGUGCCCAGAGCCAGCAGCACAUCCUGUCCCGCUGUUUGCCGAGGCUUAGCCGCAGCCUUGCUGUCACCCGUCACCACUCCUGGCUGGGCUCCGUGAGCCCCAGCAGGUCAGGGUGUGUCACUGCCGGGCACCGCUCUGGAGAUCUCACGGCCUGCUGGGAGCAUGAGGCAAAAUGGGAGCAAGCCCACGGUGAUGCCAGGGCCAGCCCAGAGCUGCUGUGGUACUUGCAAGCACAGCUCAGGGUGAGGCUCCCCAGGACAGAGGCAGAUGCCUGGUGCUCCCCGUAUCUGGAGCAUCCCAGCUCAUCCCCAGGAUGAGAGCACUCUGGAUAUGGCUCCUUCCUGCAGCAACACUGGUGACUGAGCUUCCCCUGCUCACCUCCAACCCUCCUAGGAUGCAGCGUCCUCCCACAGGGCAAGUGGGGUUGGGCUCCAGUCAGGAGCUGUUUAGGCCUUUCCUGGAUCUCAUCAGUGGCACCUGGGAUGUCCUGGCUGCCCAUGCCCAGCCCCGGUGGCUCAGCCUCUCCCCUGCAGCUGUGCUCUACUGAAUUUCCCUGUAAUUCCC